rnacentral:rRNA from 1 species
CGAGUGGCGGACGGGUGAGUAAUGUCUGGGAAACUGCCCGAUGGAGGGGGAUAACUACUGGAAACGGUAGCUAAUACCGCAUAACGUCUACGGACCAAAGUGGGGGGACCUUCGGGGCCUCACACCAUCGGAUGUGCCCAGAUGGGAUUAGCUUGUUGGUGGGGGUAAUGGCUCACCAAGGCGACGAUCCCUAGCUGGUCUGAGAGGAUGACCAGCCACACUGGAACUGAGACACGGCCCAG